GAUGAACGCGGCGGCGUGCUUAACACAUGCAAGUCGAACGGAGACUUUUUCAGUGCAACCUUCGGGGAGCAAGAGAAAGUCUUAGUGGCGGACGGGUGAGUAACGCGUGGGCAACCUGCCUCGCACCGUGGGAUAACAGGGGGAAGCUCCUGCUAAUACCGCAUAAAGUAUAUAGACGCAUGUCAAUAUACAAAAAGGGAUACCGGUGAGAGAUGGGCCCGCGUCCGAUUAGAUAGUUGGCAGGAUAGCAGCCUACCAAGUCGACGAUCGGUAGCCGGCUUGAGAGAGUGGACGGCCACACUGGGACUGAGACACGGCCCAGACUCCUACGGGAGGCAGCAGUGGGGAAUAUUGGACAAUGGGGGCAACCCUGAUCCAGCGACGCCGCGUGAGUGAAGAAAGUAUCUCGGUACGUAAAAGCUCUAUCAGC
rnacentral:rRNA from 1 species